UCGGGCUGGUUUCGGGGUGCCUGCAGUGGCUGCUGAGGCUCCUGUCUCCGUCUCGCUCCGAGCGCACGCACACCUCUUGGGCUGGUUACUGUAGAAACGAAAUUAGCACGGGGAGAGAAUGCAAUCCCAGAGCUAAUUAAGCGGUGCCUUCCCAAAACCCAUGGAUUUGGAGCUGAUUUCUGGCACUGGUCGAGACGGGAGCCAGGAGAAUGUGGCCAAACGUGUUCGUGCCGAAAGUGCCCGGUGGCCCAGCUGCAGGAGGGGCUGGGACCGCGGGGGCUCCGCUGCCCGGGGACCCGGGGGCUGGCGGGGGCCAGCGCUGGGGACAGAAGCUCCGAGUGCCGCGGUGUGUCAGCAGCAGCGCCGGGAGCGGGCGGUGAUUCACCGCUUCCCAGCAGCUGAUAUUUAUUACUCAGCCUCGCUGCGGGGCCGACAUGAAAUGUGGUACAGGGAGGGGGAACAAACACCGAGCGGAGCGGGGGACGGCAGCGUCGCCCGUGAAACCUGAUGGGUUUCCCCAUCCUCCCCCUCCCGCUGCUCUCUCCGGCUGGUGGAUUUUGAUGGAGGAAAAUAAAGGCUCACAAAAAUCA